rnacentral:rRNA from 1 species
AAUGGGCGCAAGCCUGAUCCAGCCAUACCGCGUGUGUGAAGAAGGCCUUCGGGUUGUAAAGCACUUUAAGUAAGGAAGAAAAGAGUAUUGUUAAUACCAAUACUCCGUGACAUUACUUACAGAAUAAGGACCGGCUAAUUCCGUGCCAGCAGCCGCGGUAAUACGGAAGGUCCAAGCGUUAAUCGGAAUUACUGGGCGUAAAGCGCGCGUAGGUGGUUUAUUAAGUUGGGUGUGAAAGCCCCGGGCUCAACCUGGGAACUGCAUCCAAAACUGAUUCACUAGAGUACGAAAGAGGAAAGUAGAAUUCACAGUGUGGCGGUGGAAUGCGUAGAUAUUGUGAAGAAUACCGAUGGCGAAGGCAGCUUUCUGGUUCUGUACUGACACUGAGGUGCGAAAGCGUGGGUAGCGAACAGGAUU